UGCUUGCUGAAGCACUUAGAAAGGUGACUAUGUGAUACAACCUUUUCUAUGGUCUUUUGCUCUAGUUUCUUUUUUCUUGUAAUGUUCUUUGUACCUUUUUCCCCCUCUAGUUAAUUGGGAAUGAGGGGGUCAUUUAGGAAUACUGUUUACUGUUUAGAUUCGUUAAGGCCCUGAAAUCUCAUGAUAUAUUAUGUAUUUUCUGUUCAAAUCAAGAUAUGAGAUUUAUAACUUCUGGGAUUUGUAAGAGUAUUGAUCAAACUUGUGUUUAGACUUCAACUUUGUUGCAUA
rnacentral:misc_RNA from 1 species